rnacentral:rRNA from 1 species
GACGAACGCUGGCGGCGCGCUUAACACAUGCAAGUCGAGCGAAGCGGCGGACGGGAGAGUAACACGUGAGUAACCUGCCUUAGACAUUGGGAUAGCCUCGGGAAACCGGGAUUAAUACCAAAUGGUCUAAGAUGGACUCGCGUCCCAUUAGCGAGUUGGUGAGGUAACGGCCCACCAAGGCGACGAUGGGUAGCCGGCCUGAGAGGAUGAACGGCAACAUUAGAACAGGGACACGGUGCAAACUCUACGGAAGGCAGCAGUGGGGAAUGUGGCACGAUGGGGGAAUGUCGAAGGCAGCGGCGCCGUGUAGACGUAGAAGGCUGUCGAAUCGUAAAGUUCUUUUAUAUGGGCAGCGGUACCAUAAGAGAAAGCCCCGGCUAACUACGUGCCAGCAGCCGCGGUAAUUC